CAUAAAUGUUUCAAAGAUCGUCAUACUGAUUUACAACCACCUUCUGUAAAGUCUAACAUAAUUUGAUGACAUAAAAAUAUCGCAAAAUGGAACUUAUGACGCAUCAAUUUAAAGCUUCAAGUAUCACGAAAAUGACUACAUAAACGCCUCAUGAAUAUUCUUACUACAAAAUGGUGUGUCGCCAUUUACAGUAAACAACGAUCGAUUUGGAAAGAUACAAAUUCUUACGCUAUUUGAUGACAUAUAAAAGUGUUACAAGUGUAUACUUUCACCUUUUUCUCAUCUAAAAGGAUCUUUUAAAUUUUCUAAGUAUCGUCCAUUCAGCUGCACUCUUUGUAUGACUCGUCUAUCGGAAUGGCGCCGAUUAGGAAAUCGUUGUUUGUAAAGUAAAGGCCGCAGAAGCACCCAAGAAACGUGUCUGUGUACUCACGAUUACGGUAACGCGUCAACGUGAUAGCUACACAGAUACCGACAGUUCAAACAUCUAGUCAGACGUAGUAGAAGCGAUAAGGGACAAACUAUGACAUUGUUGCAAGUCACGAUAUUGUUCGCAGCUACAGAACAGAGAAGCUGUGACUGGUGAAAUCUUCUCAACAGACUAUAAAAUAGGUAGCAGACUGUUGAAAUAUUGUUUUUAAUACGCGGAGUGUCUUAUGUAAUUGGGUCAAAUUGUAGUUCACAAAUGGUAGAUCACUGCACGUGACUGUACAGUUGGAAGUAACGUAAGCUUUCUUUGGGUGAGAGGAAGCCUCAUGGGCAUCAAAGUGGGGUAUGGGGUGGAAAGAUGCAUACUGUCUCGGGUUACGUGGAACGAAUAGCGUUCGCAGCUACAUCAGGCCUUCAAACCGGAAAUCCAAAGAAGCGAAUGAAACGACGACAACGAUGCCGUUCUUCAACGAAUUCAUUCUGACACACGUAAACCGUUCCCUUCCGCAACCAGGCGAUACCAAUGAAAAAUUAUCACACAGGAUGUUUUAUUUUUUUCUGCGCUACAAGCCUGUAUCAAAAAUAAAACAUCUCUUACAGAAUUCGUCUACAACUAAUUUAUUAACAUAAAAGUAUCACAAUAUAAUACUUAUGAUACAUCAAUUUGAAGCUUAGAAUUUCAUAAAAAUUACUAUAUAAACAUUUUAUGAAUAUUCUGAAUACAAAAUGGCUGAUUGCCAAUUGUAUCAAACAAUGACCAAUUUUGAAGGAUAUAAAAUAUGGUGGAAUUUCAUGACAGAAAAGUAUCGCUAAGUAAUAUUUACUUUAUACAGUCAUUUUCAAGAGAUUAUAAGCUUCAAAUUGAUAUAUCAUAAGUGCUAUUUUGUAAUAAUUUUAUGUCAUGAAAUUGUCAUUAGUCGAGUAGGUUAACAUUUUUAUAGUAGACUCUUAAUAUUAUACCAUAACUAUCAUUUCUUUUCUUCGAUGCUUUAAGUAUUGAAGAAUUGAGAUAAUUAAAAAAGAAAUCAAUAAAAGCGGAAUUUAUUUCUGCUGUUAUUGAUAGAAGUCGACCGCAGCCGUAACAAUGAAAACACGAUCAAUUAGCAAAGUUCGAUCGUCCCGUUAAUAAUAGGACCGUUCAUUGUCGAAGUCAUUCAACUUGUAAUUAUUCCAGUCUAAUAAUUGCGACGACAAGCGUGGAAUCACUGCGCUAGAAUUAGCAUGGAAGUGAUAAGAAGGGAAGAAAAAUGUCGAACGAUGAGUAGCAGUGACACACGAAGGCUGUGCUCUCUAGAUAAAGCUCGAUUUCAAGAAAUGAAACGUAACUCGUACGACAAACCAUCAAUUACGAGCCAUGAAUAGACCGUUGAAAUGCAACUUGUACAUUGAACGACAGUGGCCAUCGGUCAGGCCUUGCAAUUUGUUAAUCGUACGCGUUAGGUGUGUCAAAGGUUGAUUCAACUUUCCUUCAAUUCAUCGCAUUCGUUAUGCAGUAAAACUUUGAUAAAUCGUCACUCAAGGGACCGAGAAAUAUUGACGACUUAAACGGAGUAAAAACCAUGUAAAUUUUUAAAUGACGACUCAUCCGGAGUGACGACUUACGGAGGUUUUAAUGUAUUUUUUCCUUCGAUUAAUUUGUCGAACGUUUUUAUUGCGAAAUGCUGGGAAAAUCCUGUUACUUUCGUAGAAUCCAACAAGGAAAACAAUUGAUAAUCUGUAAAUUCUUAGAGUUUGGAAUCAUUGAACCCCAUUCCUUACGGUCAUCUCUGCUUGGAACUGUACUUGUAUAUUUAAUAAAUUAAAAUUAUAUAAUUUUAUUUGCAAUCAUUUUUAAUUUCACGCAUCCUUGAAUAAUAAAAUUAUUCAUUCAGAAAAUAUUUCACAACCUGCACGGGUUUUGUGUUCCUUCGGAUGGAAACGGAAAGAGAGAAUGUUAAACAAUUCUUUUAGCAUGAUAAUAAAACCUAACUCUAGGGUAAUCAAUUCAUUUCCAUUUACGAAUAUGAGUUCCGUGAAACGUUUAAACGUUUCAAGGAAAAAUGGAAUGUUUUUAUCUUCCUAAUAUUUCGAUCUUCCAAGAAUCUUAAUGAUGACAUUAAAACGAAACGUAUCGACAGAAUUUAUUCCCGCAAACAGAAUAUCCACUUCCAUAUGCAUCUCGAUAACGGAUAUUUCUACAUAUGUUUAUUAAAUUAAUUUAGGUAUAUCAUUUACAUUUAUAUCGCGUUAAACAUUUUUCAGUGUUAAUAAAAAAAAAAAAAA